rnacentral:snRNA from 1 species
AUAGCUUCUUGGCCUUUUGGCUAAGAUCAAGU